rnacentral:rRNA from 1 species
GACGAACGCUGGCGGUGUGCUUAACACAUGCAAGUCGAACGGUAAGGCCCUUUCGGGGGUACACCAGUGGCGAACGGGUGAGUAACACGUGAGUAACCUGCCCUCAUCUCUGGGAUAACAGUCGGAAACGGUUGCUAAUACUGGAUAUGAGCUUGCAAGGCAUCUUGUGGGUUGGAAAGAUUUUUUUUGGUUGGGGAUGGACUCGCGGCCUAUCAGCUUGUUGGUGAGGUAGUGGCUCACCAAGGCUUCGACGGGUAGCCGGCCUGAGAGGGCGACCGGCCACAUUGGGACUGAAGAACGGCCCAAAUCCCUAAGGGGGGCAGCAGUGGGGAAUUUUGCACAAUGGACGGAAGUCUGAUGCAGCAACCCCGCGUGCGGGAUGACGGCCUUCGGGUUUUAAACCGCUUUAAAUUUUAACCAAGCUUUUUUGGACCGGUAGGAAUAAAAAAAGCACCGGUAACCUACUU